GGAGUGGUAUCGAAGUGGUUAUAACGGCCCUGACUCGAAAUCAGGUAGUCUGCUUGCAGGCUCGUGGGUUCGAAUCCCACCCACUCCG
rnacentral:tRNA from 1 species